GACGAACGCUGGCGGCGUGCUUAACACAUGCAAGUCGAACGGAAAGGCCCUGCUUUUGUGGGGUGCUCGAGUGGCGAACGGGUGAGUAACACGUGAGUAACCUGCCCUUGACUUUGGGAUAACUUCAGGAAACUGGGGCUAAUCCCGGAUAGGAGCUCCUGCUGCAUGGUGGGGGUUGGAAAGUUUCGGCGGUUGGGGAUGGACUCGCGGCUUAUCAGCUUGUUGGUGGGGUAGUGGCUUACCAAGGCUUUGACGGGUAGCCGGCCUGGGAGGGUGACCGGCCACAUGGGUACUGAGAGACGGCCCAGACUCCUACGGGAGGCAGCAGUGGGGAAUAUUGCACAAUGGGCGGAAGCCUGAUGCAGCAACGCCGCGUGCGGGAUGACGGCCUUCGGGUUGUAAACCGCUUUCGCCUGUGACGAAGCGUGAGUGACGGUAAUGGGUAAAGAAGCACCGGCUAACUACGUG
rnacentral:rRNA from 1 species